rfam:Bombyx mori DNA, contig: Bm_scaf53_contig27230, strain: p50T/Dazao, build 2, whole genome shotgun sequence.
ACAACAUUCGGACCGUCGGUCUACCGAGCAAUAUCACCCGCUCGGUGGAAGAUCUUCCCUUUCUCGU